UUCCCCAUUUCUUUCUCCCCCGUUCCCCUUCCAACCUGCGAUUUCCAGGGUUUCGGCCACAUCUCCAACCGACGAUGGCGGCGUGAUAUGCGACGACCGCUUGAUCUCCGGCCGUGGAAGGUUUUCGAUUGUAUUGUUUCCCUGGUUUAUGGCUAUCCAAGAUAACUCCUCGAUCCUACAAAGCCAAUGAAUAAGACAUGUGUUCUUAUAGUCCGUAUACAUUGUGAAGGUUGUAAGGAUAGGUCAGGAAGAAGGUGCAGAAGGUUCAAGGUAAGUUGUGGGGUUCAGUUGUAUUUUAUUCGUUGUUUAAUUGGUUUAUUGUUUGGCUGGGUUCAUGUGGUACAUGGAAGCAAUAAAUAACAUAUUGUUGUAGGAGCUUUGUUGAUUCUUUGAAAAUGUGAACUCAAUUUUACUCUGUUUCAAUUAUGUUUCAUAUUCUGUUAUUUACUUGAGUUAUGCUUGUAUUGUAAUUCAAAGAAGGAAAAUGUUUGUCUGGCAAACUCUAUAUCUGAAAUGCAUAAAUUUGGAGCAAUCUAUAAUAUCAAAUGGUUCUCAUACUUUGGCACAUGAAUCCAAUGAUUUGGGUAAAAAAGAUAAAAAGAAGAAAGGAACAAAAAGAGGAAGGCACUUUGAUAGAGAUUCUCGAGCUACUAAUCCAGAGGUCUCAAUUUGGUGUGAUCUCA